CAUCGAAGGUCUGGUUCCGUAUACCAUCAAUGGCGAUGAUUCUGAAAUUGCGUGUGCGUUGACUCUUUCUCAGUAAUCUCAAAGUCGGUGGUGUCUGUGUUCAUGUCGUUUCGGUCUCUAUUCUUGACCUCGGAACCGUUACCAAUCAAAUUGAUUGAACGCCAUUAACAAAAGCGUAACUCUUCAUGCCACGAUCUUGCAUUCAAUGAUUCUUAUCCUUCAUCUAGGCGGUGAUUAUCUCCUAUAAAAGGGUUUUCCGGGCUUCUCCUCAAGCAAUCAAAGCAUUGUAUCAAGUUAAGUUAACCUAAAAUCUCAUUGGAAAGUUGCGAGUUUUUCAGUUUAAUAUUCUACUAAUCUGUCUCUUAUACUUCUUCUGUGUAGACUGAUCUUGAAACAGAAACUAUUAGACAUAGUAGAAAGCAAGCGCUGAUGUCUCGACAUGGCACUAUAUUUUUUUUGUAACCUUCAUUUAUGUCAGUUUUAGUUUGUGAGGCAGUAAUCAGAAGAGAGAUCGUGAACAAGGUGUUGAAAACGUGUGACUGCUUUGGUGGAGCUCGCUCAAGAAUCUCACAGGCACUUUGCUGUUGCAGGCUCUUUAGGUGGAUUCAACGCUCACACCAGAAACAUAGUUCUUGAUGUAUUCAUAGCUAUUUUCCAAGAUCCAGCUCAAAAAUGGAGAGCUCUCAAUGCAUCAAUGAUGGAAACCAUUAACGGGAAAUAUAUCUGUAUCUCUAUCACUACGCCAACUACUCAGGCUGGGACAGUGGGAGGAGGAACGCAGCUUCCAUCUCAGUCGGUGUAGUCAAACCUGCUAGCAUUAAAGGAGCUACAACAAUUUGAUAUUAAUCUUGCCUUUUCAGAAAGAUAGCGUUUCAACAAUGUGGGAAACACAGAGCGUCAAAGUCUGUACCAUUGCUUUUCAAGUUGGAGGAAGCAAGAGCAUGUAAAUUUAUACAUUCCAAAACCAAAAAAAAAAGCAGCUUAAUUUGGAUUAUAUAUGUAUAUCCUAUGAAAAUCUAUUCAUCGUAGCACACAUAUAUUUAUUUUUGACUUUAAAUUUCUGAUUGUGGCA